UGCUUAACACAUGCAAGUCGAACGAGAACGGAUUAUAGCUUGCUAUAAUUGUCAGCUAAGUGGCGCACGGGUGAGUAAUGUAUAGAUAACCUGCCCUUAAGAAAGGAAUAACAGUUGGAAACGACUGCUAAUGCCCUAUAUGCCUUUAAUACAUAAGUAUGCAAGGGAAACGCUUUAGUGCUUAAGGAUGGGUCUGUAUGGUAUCAGCUUGUUGGUGAGGUAAUGGCUCACCAAGGCUAUGACGCCUAACUGGUUUGAGAGGAUGAUCAGUCACACUGGAACUGAGACACGGUCCAGACUCCUACGGGAGGCAGCAGUGGGGAAUAUUGCACAAUGGACGAAAGUCUGAUGCAGCAACGCCGCGUGGAGGAUGACACAUUUCGGUGCGUAAACUCCUUUUAUAUAGGAAGAUAAUGACGGUACUAUAUGAAUAAGCACCGGCUAACUCCGUGCCAGCAGCCGCGGUAAUACGGAGGGUGCAAGCGCUACUCGGAAUCACUGGGCGUAAAGAGCGUGUAGGCGGGUAUAUAAGUCAGAAGUGAAAUCCAAUAGCUCAACUAUUGAACUGCUUUUGAAACUGUAUACCUAGAAUGUGGGAGAGGUAGAUGGAAUUUCUGGUGUAGGGGUACAAUCCCUAGAGAUCAUAAGCAAUACCUAUUGCCAAGCCAAUCUACUGUAACAUUAUUCAUGCUUAUACUC
rnacentral:rRNA from 1 species